rfam:Pristionchus pacificus strain PS312 contig5996, whole genome shotgun sequence.
UCUUCAUUUCUUACGCUCUUUCACCGGUCAGAAAGACGAAAGAGCACGCGAAAUGAAGAGA